rnacentral:rRNA from 1 species
AACGAACGCUGGCGGCAUGCCUAACACAUGCAAGUCGAACGAGGCCUUCGGGUCUAGUGGCGCACGGGUGCGUAACGCGUGGGAAUCUGCCCUUGGGUUCGGAAUAACAGUUAGAAAUGACUGCUAAUACCGGAUAAUGUCUUCGGACCAAAGAUUUAUCGCCCAGGGAUGAGCCCGCGUAGGAUUAGCUAGUUGGUGAGGUAAAGGCUCACCAAGGCGACGAUCCUUAGCUGGUCUGAGAGGAUGAUCAGCCACACUGGGACUGAGACACGGCCCAGACUCCUACGGGAGGCAGCAGUGGGGAAUAUUGGACAAUGGGCGAAAGCCUGAUCCAGCAAUGCCGCGUGAGUGAUGAAGGCCUUAGGGUUGUAAAGCUCUUUUACCCGGGAUGAUAAUGACAGUACCGGGAGAAUAAGCCCCGGCUAACUCCGUGCCAGCAGCCGCGGUAAU